AACUUUUAUUCCUUCCCACUUUCCCCCCAAAACUUUUACUCUCCUCCCCUCCCAACCCCCCAAUCUACCCAAAAUUCAUUUCCCACCAAAAUUUUACUCUCCCAUUUAUUUUUUCUCAAAAUUUUACUCCCCAAAACCCUCAAAACUUUUUAUUUUCCACCAAAAUUUUUAUUCCCUCCCACUUUUCCCCUAAAACUUUUAUUCCCUUCCCAUCCCAUUCCCACCUCCUAUCUAUCCCAAACCCUCCCCCCUCCAAUUUUUUUUUAAUAUUUUCCCUCCAAAAUUUACUUCCCCCUAUUUACUUUCCCUCAAACUUUUAUUCCCCAAAACUUUUUAUUUUUCUCCUAAACUUUUACUUCUCACCC
rnacentral:lncRNA from 1 species